AUGUGAUCGUCUCUCGCAUAUCAAUAAGCGGAGGAAAAGAAACUAACAAGGAUUCCCCUAGUAACGGCGAGUGAAGCGGGAAGAGCUCAAAUUUGAAAUCUUAAAGGGUUUCCCUUUACGAAUUGUAGUUUAAAGAAGUGUUUUCUGUUGAGGUUUUGGUAAAAGUUCUUUGGAAUCAGGACAUCAUAGAGGGUGAGAAUCCCGUAUUUGACCUUUACUUUCAACUUUGUGAUACACUUUCAAAGAGUCGGAUUGUUUGGGAAUGCAGUCCAAAAUGGGUGGUAAAUUUCAUCUAAAGCUAAAUAUUGGCGAGAGACCGAUAGCGAACAAGUACCGUGAGGGAAAGAUGAAAAGAACUUUGAAAAGAGAGUUAAACAGUACGUGAAAUUGUCAAAAGGGAAGCGUUUGACACCAGUGUUGUUUUUCUGAAAAUCAAUUAAAGAACUGUUUAUGCUAAGUUGUUUAGACUUUAUCAGCUAACUGUUUAGUUUUGAGCUUUUCUUUAAUGCACUUUUCAGUUAACAAGUCAACAUCAAUUUCUUUUGCUGUAAAAAAGCUUGAGGAAGGUGGCUUGAGAUUCGUCUUAAGUGUUUAUAGCCUCUUGCCUAUGCAGUCGGAGAGAUUGAGGUCUGCAGCGUAGAUCCUUCGGGGCUAAAUGCAUUUGUGCUAAGUUAUAGCAUUUUAUAGACAACUUGUUGACUAUGAUUUGUCUUGUAGCUUACUCGCUUAUGUUAUUUUACCUACGCUUAGGAUGUUGACGAGACUGUCGAUCUC
rnacentral:rRNA from 1 species